GCAUAUGAUGGUGAGGUGGGCGAGUAGGUCGGUGAGGUCGGGCUGGAGAAACGAAACAGAGAUGUAAUGUAAUCAAAAUAAAGCAUAGACAUACAUGGAAAUGGAACACAACACCAAAAGAACGGCCAAAGCUAUCAACAGAAUACCUGUAGUUCGGAGAAGUCUGACUGUACGGGCUCAUCAUCCUUGGACUGCUUGGAGAAUAAGCAUGUGAAGGACUGUACUUGGCCGAAGAAGGAUUGUAGCUCGGUGAAGUGGGGCUGUAGUUCGGUGAAGUAGGGCUGUAGCUCGGUGACGUCGGGCUGUAACCAGGCGAUGUAGGGCUGUAUGCAGGCGAUGUAGGGCUGUAUGAGGGCGAGGUAGGGCUGUAUGAGGGGGAUGUCGGGCUGUAUGAGGGUGACGUGGGGCUGUAUGAGGGUGAUGUCGGGCUGUACGAGGGAGAAGUAGGGCUGUAUGAUGGCGAC
rnacentral:lncRNA from 1 species